UUCUCAGCGUGUCCCUCCUACC
rnacentral:miRNA from 1 species